rnacentral:rRNA from 1 species
AACGAACGCUGGCGGCAUGCCUAACACAUGCGAGUCGAACGAGAUCCUUCGGGGUCUAGUGGCGCACGGGUGCGUAACGCGUGGGAAUCUGCCCUUAGGUUCGGAAUAACAGUUAGAAAUGACUGCUAAUACCGGAUGAUGACGUUAAGUCCAAAGAUUUAUCGCCUGAGGAUGAGCCCGCGUAGGAUUAGCUAGUUGGUGUGGUAAAGGCGCACCAAGGCGACGAUCCUUAGCUGGUCUGAGAGGAUGAUCAGCCACACUGGGACUGAGACACGGCCCAGACUCCUACGGGAGGCAGCAGUGGGGAAUAUUGGACAAUGGGCGCAAGCCUGAUCCAGCAAUGCCGCGUGAGUGAUGAAGGCCUUAGGGUUGUAAAGCUCUUUUACCCGAGAUGAUAAUGACAGUAUCGGGAGAAUAAGCCCCGGCUAACUCCGU